UAAGUCCUACGGGGCGCAGCAGUGAGGGAUAUUGGUCAAUGGGGGAAACCCUGAACCAGCAACGCCGCGUGAGGGAAGACGGUUUUCGGAUUGUAAACCUCUGUCCUCUGUGAAGAUAAUGACGGUAGCAGAGGAGGAAGCUCCGGCUAACUACGUGCCAGCAGCCGCGGUAAUACGUAGGGAGCGAGCGUUGUCCGGAUUUAUUGGGUGUAAAGGGUGCGUAGACGGGAAAACAAGUUAGUUGUGAAAUCCCUCGGCUUAACUGAGGAACUGCAACUAAAACUAUUUUUCUUGAGUGUUGGAGA
rnacentral:rRNA from 1 species